rnacentral:tRNA from 1 species
GAGGGUAUAGCUCAGUGGUAGAACACAUGCUUAGGAUGCGCGAGGUCCUGGGUUCAAACCCCAGUACCACUG